UAUGUCUAUUUUAAUAUUAAUCGAAAGAAUUUAUCACAACGGUCUCUGUAUUUCAAAUGUAAUCGACGAGUCGAUGAUGCGUUCGAUGAGUAAAUAACGCCAUUUCAGCGCACGCGCAUUGCUCACGGAUUUUUCUGGAAGUCGUGGUGAAUUGGUUCUUGUGCAGUUAUUUGUGAAAAAAAUACAAUUAAAACUUUGAAAAACCAGUGACAAAAGUGUGCGGGAUGAACAAUAGAACUAGUUAAAUAAAGUGACACGGUUUUCAAUGCGAAAUAAAGAAAUUUAGUGCGCGAAACACAAAAAAAUCAUCUUCUCCGUCUCAUUCUUUGUGUUGACAAGACCAUAUUAUACACGAUAAGGCGAUGAAGUCCUGUGCCAAAAUAGUCGGUCAAAUCAAAGACAGCAAUAGGCCAUGCAGAAAGCGUAAGAAGGCAACGCCAGCAAUUCCAUUACCAAAGAACACUUCAGCAGUACCUGGGCCAUAUACUCAGCGAGAUUUGAAAUCGUCUGAAUCUACUCAUACAUCUAUCUAUCGUCUAAAUCGUAAGCUGUGUAAGGUGAUCAACGAUUCCUGCUUCUUUUGUAAUUCAUUAUAAUGUAAAUAUUUUUUCAAUCACGUCAAUAUUUUUUAUAUAUGUAUCUGAACAUUAAAUUAAUUUGAAGUUUAAUUAGAUUUUUUUUUAAAAUUAAAUGUAUUAUUUUUUUUUUUAAUUUUAUUAAAAAAGUGAAGUUAAUACAUGAAAUAAAAUGUUCUCUGCUAUA